GACUUCCCGCCUAUCUCCUUCACAGUCUCAGAGCUAAUACUCAUCUUAGCCAGCUGUGUUAGUUAGCAAAUACGUAACUAAUGUGUUAACAGGGUUUCCCAGGUGGCUCAGUGGUGAAGAACUGCCUGCCAAGGCUGGAGACGCAGGAGACAUGGGUUCGAUCCCUGGAUUGGGAAGACCCCCUAGAGGAGGAAAUGGCAACCCACUCCAGUAUUCUUGCCUGGAAAAUCCCGUGGACAGAGAAGCCGGGUGGACUCCAGUCCAUGGAGUCCCAAGAGUCAGGCACAACUUAGUGACUAAACCACUAUAUUCUCCAGAGUGACUGUAUCAACUGCAUUCCCACCAACAGAGCAAGAGGGUUCCCUUUUCUCCACAUCCUCUCCAGCAUUUAUUAUUUGCAGAUUUUUUAAUAAUGACCCUUCUGACCAGUGUGAGGCUGUAGCAAGAUCACAGGGCCAGUCACCUCGGUGACGA
ensembl:lncRNA